rnacentral:rRNA from 1 species
GACGAACGCUGGCGGCGUGCCUAAUACAUGCAAGUAGGACGCAGUUGCGAACGGGUGAGUAACGCGUAGGUAACUACCUAUUAGAGGGGGCUAACCAUUGGAAACGAUAGCUAAUACCGCAUACUAGUAGAUGGACCUUCGUUGUAUUAGGUAGUAGGUAGGGUAAUGGCCUAACUAGGCAACGAUACAUAGCCGGGCUGAGGGGGUGAUCGGCCCAACGUGGGCUGAGAAAAGGCCCAGACUCCCACGGGAGGCAGCAAUAGGGAAUCUUCGGCAAUGGGGGGAACCCUGGCCGAGCAAAGGCGCGUGUGUGAAGGAGGGUUUCGGAUCGUAAAGCUCUGUUGUUAAGGAAGCGGUACUUAACCAGAAAGGGACGGCUAACUACGUGCCAGCAGCCGCGGUAAUAC